UAGUGGGGCUACACACGUCAUACAAUGGCUGGUACAAAGGGUUGCAACCCGCAGGGGGAGCCAAUCCCAUAAAGCCAGUCGUAGUCCGGAUCGUAGUCUGCAACUCGACUACGUGAAGUCGGAAUCGCUAGUAAUCGUGGAUCAGAAUGUCACGGUGAAUACGUUCCCGGGUCUU
rnacentral:rRNA from 1 species